rnacentral:lncRNA from 1 species
UAUUUUUUUUUUUUUUUUUUUUGGUCACAAACAUUAAUAAGUUUUAUGAAGAAUUAUUAAACAUUUUCAGAUUCCUUUUGUUUAAAAAAUAGGGACUUCAUUACGCAGAACAAAAAGAUAUAGGAGCAAAGCCAAACUCAAGGGAAAAAAGUUAUACAGAUGAUUACAAACAUAAUCAUAUAUAUAUAUAUGCUAUGCUUCCAAUUCCAUGAGACAGAGCACAUUGGUUACCCAUAUUCCCCUCUCAUGCUGUCACAUAAGCAUUUUGCUGCAGUAUAAACUAACACACACACACAAACGCAAUGAUGCAGCAAGACUAGAAAAAUACAGCCAUAUGACAAUUGUCAUUAUCUAAAUAUAGAGCACCUAGGCUUUUCGGUAGAGAUAUGAUAUGCUUCUCUGAGGAUUAUUUACAAGGAAGCAAAUCCAAUGAAAAGCAAGUAGGCUAUUUUACAAUCAUAAUUGAUCAUAUGUGCAAGCAAAAAUAUGCUGUCACAUUCUAGGUAAUUUUGUUAUCAAUUUCUGAAACAAUCAUCAUGCACUGAAUCCCCGGUGGAGGGAGCUCCAUG